CUGGAGCACGGCGAGGUCGCGAGCGUUUGAAACCACCGGUGGCCUUGAUCUUCUGACUCUUUAGUGCGUAGGCGUUGGAUCUGGGUCAGAUCUGAAUCGCUAGUCAUCGAGUUUUAGGUUGAGAGAGUAGCUACCUCUCCUCCUUUCUCCGACCAGCCUCCCGACGAGUUCUAGGGCUAUGAAGCUUCAAAGGGUGUAGAGCCUCUCCUCAGGGGAUUCGUCCUCAGAGAGCGGCGGAGUUGUGGUCUCCGUUGAGGGUCUCUGAAUCUAGUUUCAGGUAUCAUUACCAUGGCUCUCUCCUGUCAACUUGGUUCAGGUCUCUCCCUGUUGAGUUUAGGGUAGUUGGAUGUUUAGGGUUCUCUGAGGACAGUACCGAUGCCUCUAGCUCUUGAUAACCAACGAUUGAGACUUGCCAUUGGUGGGACUAGCCUGUUUUGAGGGUCUUCGGACUUCUUCAUCUCCUUUUUCAAGCUCCGGUUUGUUCUUUCCGACAGCCGUGAUGUGUUAGCUUAUCUCUUGGGUUGCGUAGUCGGAUUGGGGUGCAUUAUACCGAUUACGCUUGACCAUCGUUUCAUGUGCUCUAUUUCAAGUGAAGACAUCUUGGCAAGUUAGACAGCUACUUUUCGAGUGGCAUUGGGUUUGGUUUCAACGAAGUCCCUCCUCAGCUAGCACCGGAGUGUAAGCCAGGCUCUCCGUCGUCGCAGCUCGAGAGACCUUCGGGUUAGUCUUCGGCAAACCGUCCCCGUUUAGCCAAACUCCUCUCUCUGCAGGUUUCGAUCAGCAAAGAGUUUAGGAAGCGCUUGAGUUAGGAAAUUAGUUGAUACUUGUUGCUAAGCUUUAGUUCUAAGUGUAUUGUUGCAAUAUCCUUAGAUCUUUUAUGGAUGCUAUAGGUUCUUUUACUUUUUUUGCGGCCUCUAGGAUCAUAUCAGCUCUUUGAGCAAUCUUGGAUUUCAAUUUCUAUUGUAAUCAAAC
rnacentral:lncRNA from 1 species